CAAACCCUCAAGCCCGGCUUGGUGCUUGGUGUUGGGCGCGACCCGCGGGGGUCGGCCCCAAGGACAUCGGCGGCGCCGCCCGGCCCCGAGCGCAGUACGCGCAUCGCUACGGUGCCCGGCGGUGGCCAGCCCUCACCACCACUCAGU
rnacentral:misc_RNA from 1 species